GGAGCAGGCAGGUCUGUGGACAGUCCCAAAGUGUUUGAGCUCUUCCCUUGGGAGCAGCCCUCUGCUCGCUGCUCUGGUUCCGCCUGCUUCAGCCUUCUCCCACUGCAUCCCAUCGUGCCUUGCCCACUUGUAAUUUCAUGGCUGCAGUCACCAUCCACGGUGAUUUUGGAGCCCAAGGAAAUAAAACCUGUCACUGAUUCCACUUUGCCCCAUCUCUUUGCCAUGAUCUGGAUGCCAUGAUCUUCAUUUUUUGAAUUUUGAGUUUUAAGCUAGCUUUUUCACUGUUCUCUUUUACCUUCACCAAGAGGCUCUUUAGUUCCUCUUUACUUUCUGCCAUUUGAGUGGUAUCAUCUACAUAUCUGAGGCUGUUGAUGUUUCUUCAGGCAGUCUUGUUUCCCGCUUGUGAGACAUCCAGCCCGGCAUUUCGCAUGAUGUACUCUGCAUAGAAGUUACAUAAGCAGGGUGACAAUGUACAGCCUGGACAUAACUCCUUUCCCAAUUUUGAACCAGUCAGUGGUUCCAUGUCUGGUUCUAACUGUUGCUUCUUCUCCUGAAUACAGGUUUCUCAGGAGGCAGGCCUUCCCAGAGCCUCUGUCCCUUCAUGGCUGCAAAGACUCUAAACCAGCAUGUCCCGAGCUCCUCAUCCUCCUCCCAGUCAGGCCCCUGACACAGGGAGUCCACUUACUCCUCUCGACAACCUGGUGAAGGAGACGGUGUUGGCCCGAUCCUACAGAUCAAGCCUCCGUGACUCAGUGCUCAGCUCACCCAUUAAGUGCCAGAGCCAGUGUGGCCUCCGGAGACCUUCGUGGUGCUCCAGAGCAGCUAAACCACAGCAUCUGGCUUGUUGCUGGGACUCUGGUGCUUUGGGCCACUCUUCCCCCCAUCCCCCCACCACUGCACCCAGUUCCUUCAAC
ensembl:lncRNA